UUUUUGAUCUCGUUCAGUUCUUUUCUGCAUGAGGCUCUGUGGGCUGCUGGCAAGGCCCAAAGUAAGGAAGGUUGUCCCAGUGUCCGUGCUCAUGUCAAUAGUUUAAUUUAUUUGGCUUUUCUAGGAGCAGAUGUCGUGGAGGACCUUGGUGCUGUUUUCACUGGCCUCCUGCACUCUCCGAGAGAACCCCUUGCUCCCUGCGUGACGUUCCAGCUCUGUGACAAAGGUCCCGAGUCCCUGAAAGCUGCUAAGUAUCCUCAGCUCUACCAGUUUAACUGAUACUAUAGACUCUGGAUGCCCAAGCAGUCCCAGGAGCCUGUGGUAUGGAAUCCCUGAAGUCACUGAAUUCUUGAGCCAGUAUUCCUGUAAAAUCCUCGUAGUCGACAGAGGUUACAUUUCCAUCAGAAACAGCGUUUUUAUUGAGGAGUUUGAAAACCACAAGGAGGUAAGCCAAGAGCCUCCUGUGGCACCGGAUUCUGUAUUUGCCACUUUGCUGAAGGGAGCCUGGGAGAGAGGAAGCAGUACCUUCCUGGAAGAUGGUGUUCAGACAAAGUGGAGAGACUUGGCUUCCUGGCUCCCCCCACCUGAGCAGCUUUUGCUGGGAGUAAAGCACGUGCUGCUGUACCCGAAAUCCACAGUGGAGAACUUCAGCAGAUAAUACUGUAGUUAUGCUUGUUUUACUUUGUGGCACAAGUUACAAAUGACUUGGCUGCUAAAACUUAGGUUCCAGUUCUUUUUCCUCGACUCAGCUCCAAGGGUACGCAGCACCGUACAAAACUGCACCUAAUUUGUAAACAAACGUCAUUUGUUCUGAUUAUUGAAGCCGGGCUUUAUUCAGUUGAAUCCCGAGUGUGUGCUGCGCCCAGGUCCUUUGUACAAAUAGGGUAUGGAGGGUGGGGGAACCAGAACUGCACAUUCCUUGUGAUAUGUAUGGGAUUUUGGGGGGGUUAAAUAAAAAGGAGAUGCAAAAUGAGGGAA